UCCAUUUCGUUUCAACUAAACCCAAAUGCAUACUCGCUAAAGAUUAAUAAAAUUGAAAAAAAAAACAGUAGAAUUAAACAAAUAAAACAAAAUGAGAUACAUAGAAGUAAAUAAAAAAAAUUAAAAACCCAAUGAAUCUGGGAAAAGAAAAUUAAUCUUUUUUAUUUAAACAGUCAUGAUUGUAUUGACUAUUUUGGCAAAACCUUGCCUUGGACAAUGACAACGUUAGAGGUUAGUAAAGAAAAAUCGAAGAAGUUACAGGUCAAUAAUGAAAACAACAAGUAAUUGUCAAAAAGCAAGGAUUUUUUUGGAUCCUCCUUCAAAUCUACGACUUAUUUUUUAAUAUAUUCAUGUUAUUUUUUUAUGCCACUUCUUUUCAUUUCUCCUCAUCGCUAAUUCCUUACAAUUCUCAUUAAAUUGUUGCAAACUUCAACUUUAAUUUCUUCCACAAUCUCAAACAAGAAGAUUUUCUGCAUUGAAUUGG
rnacentral:lncRNA from 1 species